GAUGUACUCCCUCCGUCCUGAAAUACUUGUCGGAUGAAUGGAUGGAUCUAGACGUAUUUUAGUUCUAUAUACAUCCAUUUUUAUGCAUUUCUCCGACAAGUAUUUCCGGACAGAGGGAGUAUAAC
rnacentral:pre_miRNA from 1 species